rnacentral:misc_RNA from 1 species
CCAAUAGCGUAUAUUAAAGUUGUUGCAGUUAAAAAGCUCGUAGUUGAAUUUCGGGAUCAAUUUGUCGGUCGUGCCUCGGUACGUACUGGCAUUAUUGGUUUCUCCCUUCUGACGAACCACGAUGUCAUUAAUUUGGUGUCGCGGGAAAUCAGGACUGUUACUUUGAAAAAAUUAGAGUGUUUAAAGCAAGCUCACGCUUGAAUACAUUAGCAUGGAAUAAUGAAAUAGGACGUUUGAUUCUAUUUUGUUGGUUUCUAGGAUCGACGUAAUGAUUAAUAGGGAUAGUUGGGGGCAUUAGUAUUCAAUUGUCAGAGGUGAAAUUCUUGGAUUUAUUGAAGACUAACUACUGCGAAAGCAUUUGCCAAGGAUGUUUUCAUUAAUCAAGAACGAAAGUUAGGGGAUCGAAGACGAUCAGAUACCGUCGUAGUCUUAACCAUAAACUAUGCCGACUAGGGAUCGGAUGAUGUUAAUUUUUUAAUGACUCAUUCGGCGCCUUAC